AGAGCGAACGCUGGCGGCAGGCCUAACACAUGCAAGUCGAGCGCGUGUAGCAAUACACGAGCGGCAGACGGGAGAGUAACACGUGGGAACGCGCCCUUCGGUUCGGAAUAACUCAGGGAAACUUGAGCUAAUACCGGAUACGCCCUUACGGGGAAAGAUUUAUUGCCGAAGGAACGGCCCGCGUCCGAUUAGCUAGUUGGUGAGGUAACGGCUCACCAAGGCGACGAUCGGUAGCUGGUCUGAGAGGAUGACCAGCCUCACUGGGACUGAGACACGGCCCAGACUCCUACGGGAGGCAGCAGUGGGGAAUAUGGACAAUGGGCGCAAGCCUGAUCCAGCCAUGCCGCGUGAGUGAUGACGGCCUUAGGGUUGUAAAGCUCUUUCGCUCGGGACGAUAAUGACGGUACCGAGAUAAGAAGCCCGGCUAACUCGUGCCAGCAGCCGC
rnacentral:rRNA from 1 species